rnacentral:sRNA from 1 species
CGAGUGGGUGACCGUGUGUUGGCUGUUAAUGGCUACAAAGUCAAUCACCUCAGUUUGAAUGAAACGUUAGAAAUAUUUGCUCAGUGUGAUAAGGCAGCAUCCUUCACACUUUCAUAUGAUGUAACUCUUUUAGAAUCUCAACGUACCAGCACAAGUCCUAUUAUGGUAGAACUGGAGCGUUCCCCUGGCUCUGGCAUUGGGGUCACAUUGACUAAAGGACUCCAUGAAGGGAAAUCUUGUAUGUGUGUGAAUGAAGUGCAGCCCAUGAGCUCAGCAGACAGGUCUGGUGCCCUCCACCCAGGAGAUUAUAUUCUUUCUAUCAAUAAUGUUAGUGUAGAAUCAAUGUCUGUAGCUGAAGCCUUGCA